rnacentral:ribozyme from 1 species
AGGAAGAAAUAGAAGGGAAACGGGAAAACAGUGGUGAAGAUCGUGAAAAUAGGCUGAAAAUGGGUAGAAGAUUAUCUUUGUUGCUUACUUUGUACUCACCUUUCCCCUUCCUUCUUCUUAUCUCGUUUUGAAUUUGUGUCAAAACAGAGGAGGUC